rnacentral:rRNA from 1 species
AACGAACGCUGGCGGCGUGCCUAACACAUGCAAGUCGAGCGCGAAUGGGGGCAACCCCUAGUAGAGCGGCGGACGGGUGCGUAACACGUGGGUAAUCUGCCUCAGAACCUGGGACAACCUGCCGAAAGGCUGGCUAAUACCGGAUAAGACCACGAGCUCUUCGGAGCUUGGGGUAAAAGGUGGCCUCUGUAUACAAGCUAUCAUUCUGAGAUGAGCCCGCGGCCCAUCAGCUAGUUGGCGAGGUAACGGCUCACCAAGGCAACGACGGGUAGCUGGUCUGAGAGGACGAUCAGCCACACUGGAACUGAGACACGGUCCAGACUCCUACGGGAGGCUG